UAAUACUGCCUGGUAAUGAUGA
rnacentral:ncRNA from 16 species